rnacentral:rRNA from 1 species
AGCAGUCGCCACGGUAAUACGUAGGGUGCAAGCGUUAAUCGGAAUUACUGGGCGUAAAGCGUGCGCAGGCGGUCUGUCAAGUCGGAUGUGAAAUCCCUGAGCUUAACUUAGGAAUUGCAUUCGAUACUGGGAAGCUAGAGUAUGGGAGAGGAUGGUAGAAUUCCAGGUGUAGCGGUGAAAUGCGUAGAGAUCUGGAGGAAUACCGAUGGCGAAGGCAGCCAUCUGGCCUAAUACUGACGCUGAGGUACGAAAGCAUGGGGAGCAAACAGGAUUAGAUACCCCAGUAGUCCCUGUCUCUUAUAC